GACCUUCUACAUCACCUUCCCCGUCGCCUUGAGACACUCUAUCAUCGACUUCGCCUCCACGCAGCAUUCACCAAUAGCUACGUGUGCCGCCUUGGUUUGACCACUGACCCAUACUCAACAAGCUCAUCU
rnacentral:lncRNA from 1 species